rnacentral:rRNA from 1 species
GUGCCAGCAGCCGCGGUAAUACGUAGGCAGCAAGCGUUGUUCGGAAUUACUGGGCGUAAAGAGUGUGUAGGCGGUUCUCUAAGUUCGGUGUGAAAUCUCCUGGCUUAACUGGGAGGGUGCGCCGGAAACUGGAGUGCUCGAGCGUGGGAGAGGAAAGCGGAAUUCCUGGUGUAGCGGUGAAAUGCGUAGAUAUCAGGAGGAACACCUGUGGUGUAGACAGCUUUCUGGACCAUAGCUGACGCUGAGGUGCGAAAGCGUGGGGAGCAAACAGGAUUAGAUACCCCGGUAGUCCUAGCCCUAAACGAUGAAUGCUUGGUGUGACGGGUAUCGAUCCCUGUCGUGCCGAAGCUAACGCAUUAAGCAUUCCGCCUGGGGAGUACGGGCGCAAGGCUGAAACUCAAAGGAAUUGACGG